rnacentral:rRNA from 1 species
CAGGAUUAGAUACCCUGGUAGUCCACACAGUAAACGAUGAAUACUCGCUGUUUGCGAUAUACAGUAAGCGGCCAAGCGAAAGCAUUAAGUAUUCCACCUGGGGAGUACGCCGGCAACGGUGAAACUCAAAGGAAUUGACGGGGGCCCGCACAAGCGGAGGAACAUGUGGUUUAAUUCGAUGAUACGCGAGGAACCUUACCCGGGCUUAAAUUGCAUUUGAAUAUAUUGGAAACAGUAUAGCCGUAAGGCAAAUGUGAAGGUGCUGCAUGGUUGUCGUCAGCUCGUGCCGUGAGGUGUCGGCUUAAGUGCCAUAACGAGCGCAACCCUUAUCUUUAGUUACUAACAGGUCAUGCUGAGGACUCUAGAGAGACUGCCGUCGUAAGAUGUGAGGAAGGUGGGGAUGACGUCAAAUCAGCACGGCCCUUACGUCCGGGGCUACACACGUGUUACAAUGGGGGGUACAGAAGGCAGCUACCUGGUGACAGGAUGCUAAUCCCAAAAGCCUCUCUCAGUUCGGAUCGAAGUCUGCAACCCGACUUCGUGAAGCUGGAUUCGCUAGUAAUCGCGCAUCAGCCAUGGCGCGGUGAAUACGUUCCCGGGCCUUGUACACACCGCCCGUCAAGCCAUGAAAGCCGGGGGUACCUGAAGUACGUAACCGCAAGGAGCGUCCUAGGGUAAAACUGGUAAUUGGGGCUAAGUCGUAACAAGGUAGCCGUACCGGAAGGUGCGGCUG